rnacentral:rRNA from 1 species
UGCCAGCCGCCGCGGUAAUACGGAGGGGGUUAGCGUUGUUCGGAAUUACUGGGCGUAAAGCGUACGUAGGCGGACUAGUCAGUCAGAGGUGAAAUCCCAGGGCUCAACCCUGGAACUGCCUCUGAUACUGCUAGUCUUGAGUUCGAGAGAGGUGAGUGGAAUUCCAAGUGUAGAGGUGAAAUUCGUAGAUAUUUGGAGGAACACCAGUGGCGAAGGCGGCUAACUGGCUCGGUACUGACGCUGAGAUGCGAAAGCGUGGGGAGCAAACAGGAUUAGAUA